GAUGAACGCUGGCGGCGUGCUUAACACAUGCAAGUCGAACGGAAAGGCUCCUGCUUGCAGGGGUACUCGAGUGGCGAACGGGUGAGUAACACGUGGGUGAUCUGCCCUGCACUUCGGGAUAAGCCUGGGAAACUGGGUCUAAUACCGGAUAGGACGAUGGUCUGGAUGCCAUUGUGGAAAGUUUUUCGGUGUGGGAUGAGCUCGCGGCCUAUCAGCUUGUUGGUGGGGUAAUGGCCUACCAAGGCGUCGACGGGUAGCCGGCCUGAGAGGGUGUACGGCCACAUUGGGACUGAGAUACGGCCCAGACUCCUACGGGAGGCAGCAGUGGGGAAUAUUGCACAAUGGGCGCAAGCCUGAUGCAGCGACGCCGCGUGGGGGAUGACGGCCUUCGGGUUGUAAACUCCUUUCGCUAGGGACGAAGCGUUUUGUGGCGGUACCUGGAGAAGAAGCACCGGCUAACUACGUG
rnacentral:rRNA from 1 species